rnacentral:rRNA from 1 species
GAUGAACGCUGGCGGCGUGCUUAACACAUGCAAGUCGAACGGUGAAGCAGAGCUUGCUCUGUGGAUCAGUGGCGAACGGGUGAGUAACACGUGAGCAACCUGCCCCUGACUCUGGGAUAAGCGCUGGAAACGGCGUCUAAUACUGGAUAUGAGCUGCGACCGCAUGGUCAGCAGUUGGAAAGAUUUUUCGGUCUGGGAUGGGCUCACGGCCUAUCAGCUUGUUGGUGAGGUAAUGGCUCACCAAGGCGUCGACGGGUAGCCGGCCUGAGAGGGUGACCGGCCACACUGGGACUGAGACACGGCCCAGACUCCUACGGGAGGCAGCAGUGGGGAAUAUUGCUCAAUGGGCGAAAGCCUGAUGCAGCAACGCCGCGUGAGGGAUGACGGCCUUCGGGUUGUAAACCUCUUUUAGCAGGGAAGAAGCGAGAGUGACGGUACCUGCAGAAAAAGCGCCGGCUAACUACGUG